CCUACGGGUGGCAGCAGUGAGGAAUAUUGGUCAAUGGACGAGAGUCUGAACCAGCCAAGUAGCGUGAAGGAUGACUGCCCUAUGGGUUGUAAACUUCUUUUAUAUGGGAAUAAAAUGUUCCACGUGUGGGAUUUUGUAUGUACCAUAUGUAUAAGGAUCGGCUAACUCCGUGCCAGCAGCCGCGGUAAUACGGAGGAUCCGAGCGUUAUCCGGAUUUAUUGGGUUUAAAGGGAGCGUAGGUGGAUUGUUAAGUCAGUUGUGAAAGUUUGCGGCUCAACCGUAAAAUUGCAGUUGAAACUGGCAGUCUUGAGUACAGUAGAGGUGGGCGGAAUUCGUGGUGUAGCGGUGAAAUGCUUAGAUAUCACGAAGAACUCCGAUUGCGAAGGCAGUUCACUGGACUGCAACUGACACUGAGGCUCGAAAGUGUGGGUAUCAAACAGGAUUAGAUACCCGUGUAGUC
rnacentral:rRNA from 1 species